AUGUUUGGACCACCUAUUAAAGAUUUAGGUGAUGUGUUAAGGUAUGCUUUGUCCACACACCAGAAAACUGGGGAUGUCACCGAAAAUCUCAAGAAUUAUAUGUUAAGAAGCAGAGUUAUGCGAGCACCAUUGGUUUGUGCAAGCGUUGCCGCCUCAACCGGCCGGUCCAAGCUCCAACCCACCAGCAAGACGUUAUGGUUUCGUUUGACUCCUGCACCAAGAGGCCGGAUGAAACCCACCACCAACACAACGCUGUUUCACCUGUCGAGCCCAUUUUUAAUUGCCGCAGAUCUGACCAGGUUCAGAAGGUCGGUGAAACCUGAAGGAUCUAGGGAUCAACACCUCUUGGUGCAAACAACCUUUCACUUAUGA
rnacentral:rRNA from 1 species